AACUUUAGAAAAAGGAUGAAGAGGAUAUAUGGUGGUGCAAUGGUAAGAAGAGGAGAUGAGGUUUUCUACCCAAACAACAAUUUUAAACAAAGGGUUUUCUAUUCCUUUCUCCUUGUUUCUCUUUCUUAAACCCUUUCCCUUUCCACUUCAUAAACCAAACGCCCCCUUAAUUUUACAAUAUUACUCUGCAAGCACAGCUCCAAACAGUUUCUUCAUCUCCCCCCAAACACUCGAUACAACAGUAUACAAGACCCGCCUGAAUUUUGCGCCAAAAUUCAAUCGACAGCAACCGUAACAGUUCCUCUGAACUUGUCGGCCAAUUCGUCCACCAGUGUAAUCUUCUUUGUCGUCCAAUUGCGCCGUGAUUGCAUCCUAAUUUCAUCAGCUAGUGUUCCAUUACCACCACCACACCACAACCACGCCACCACUGCGCUACACACCGUGUCAUCGUUAUCCUGGAGAAGAUAAAUAAGUUUCUUGUAUACAAGAGGGAAGGAAAAAACUUUAAUAUAGAGGUUCACAAUAGAAAAGACUACAGAAACCCUGAUUUCUUGCGCCAUGCUGUGAGGUAUUAAGAUAUUGAUGAGAUAGGGUCAUGUUUCGGUAAAGAUGUCUUUGAUCCACAUGGAUAUGAUGAAAGCGACUAUUUGAUGCAAUAGGUAAGUGACUAUUAUUAAUGCAUAGCUUUUUAUCUGUUCUUUUAAUUCAUGUUAUGUGAAUAAUUUCUUUCAUGUCUUCCUUCGUUUUUUUAGCCGUUCCAUUUCUUCUUUACAUUUAGAAGCUCAAGAAUUGGAAAAGGAUUUUUAUGGUCCAACUACAUACUUGCUGUCAGCUUAGAAAAAUUUCAGGUCUAGAGGGGUAGAUAAAUUAUUUUGUUGUAAUAUAUUUUGCAGCUUGUAUAUUUAUCUUUUUAAUGUUUUAUACUUUGUAGUACUUUGGCGGAAUUACAACUGAAUUUUCUCGAAAUAAGCUUGAUGAGCUCAGAGAUGUGUGGAUCAAAUAUGUGGAUGAAGAAGAAUCGGAAUAUAAUGACCAUUUCAAUUAGGAUUUGUGUACUUUUUAUUUUUAGCGGGAUUAGGGAGGUGCUUCUAUUUUUGUGCACAUGAAUUGGAAGAAACAGACCUAGCACUAGUACAGAAAAGGCAAUUUGCGUCGGAUGUGAGGCGCCUAUUUGCGUCGGACAUGGGUCCGACGCCAAAGGCCUCGACGCAAAUAGCCCAGACAUGAUCUGCGUCGUAUGCUGAACGACGCAGAUAUAUUUGCUAUUUGCGUCGCACCGUAUACAAGGUGCGACGCAAAUUGGUCAUUAUGUGAAAAAUAAAAAAACGCAGUACCAAGCAUGAAUGCUUUAGUAUUGCGUAGGAGGAAAAAAAAACCAGAUCUCAUCAAAAAACCAGAUUCAACAUACAACAAAUGAUAUAAUUAAACAAGACAAAUCUCAUAUCAAAAAACUAGAUCUAACAUACAACAAAUGAUGAUAAUUAAACAAGUGAACCUUGUGUCAAAAAUUAAAAAACAAAUAUAAAAUCUAAACGAAAAAAUCUAAACAAAUAUCAGAAAUUAAAAAAUCAGAUCUAAUAUACAACAAAACACGAAAUUAAAAAACUAAACCUACAAUAUAUACAAAACAAAUUACAUUGUAAAAAUAUUAAAUAGGUGCGACUAAAAAGGAAGAUUGCAACGUUCGAUGUAUUCGAGGGAGACGACUUCGAAGAACCAAUUCCAGAUCUGAAAAUUAUAGAGUAAAUUCUAAAUCAGAAAAUAAACCCUAAAAAUGCCAAAAAGUAAACAAAAAAAAAUAGAUAUAAAAAAAUAAAAAUAAAACGAAAGGAUCAGUUUUUAAUUUUCAUUUGCAUGAACAAAAUUUUUAGUUUUCCAGAUCUGAAUAUGAAAAACGAAUUUCCAGAUUUGAAAACUAAAAAUAAAAUCAGAUAUAAAAAUGAAAAAACAUAUCAGAUUUAAACAUUGAAACAACUUCGAACCUGUCAAAAGCGAGAGACUUAGUGUGAUUCGCCGAAAACUAGAAAAAUCAGAUGUAAGAUGCGCGUAGGUCGCCGGAAAAUAGAAAAAUCAGAUCUAAGACUUAGUGUAAGUCGUCCGUUUAGUUCGCUGAAAUUGUUCGUUGAAUUGUAUAGAAUCCGCGUCCAGCAGGAAGAUGAGAAUCCGCGUCCAGGAGAGGAGAAUUUGAGGAGAGAAGCGGCGGAGAUGUUUGGAGAGAAGCGGUUGAGGAGAGAGAAAGAACGAGGCGCUGAGAAUGGUAGGAGCUGAGAAUUGUGAAGAGACAGAAAGAGGCGCGCUGAGAAUUGUAAAGAGAGAGAAAGAGGCGCUGCGGCGUAUGACUUAUGAGGCGUUAGGGUUUAUGAAAUAAGAGUAGGUAGGCCUAUGUGCGUCGCACACUCAAUAAGUGCGAUGCAAAUUAGGUAUUUGAUUUGCGUCGCACAUACACGGAAACGACGCACAUUUGGCUUUUGCAACGCAUGUAAAGCAGGUCCGACGCAAAUGGACCAUGUUGUGCGUCGCACUCCUCCCACAUGCAACGCAAAUCCCAACUGUGCGUCGUUUCCGUGUCUGUGCGACGCAAAUCGUCGAUUCUGUACUAGUGUAGGUGCUCUAUUAUUUUUUUAUAACUUAGUUGAAUUUUUGGAAUCUUCUAACAUUAUAUCGAUAUGCAUAUGAUUUUUUAGUGAAUGAUAUUGAAUGAAUAAAAGGUAUUCCAAUUUUAAAGUCA